UUUACAGCAGCACCAACCAACGUAUGAUCUUCCGAAGAAUCAGCUAGAAAAGCCAAACUACGCUGAACUCGAUAUGUAUCUGAAUCAAAAUAAGGCUGCAGCACAAGGAAAUCAAUAUCAAAACCCAAUCCUUGAUAAUAUGUAUCCUGAUUUAGACGGCCUGGUUCGUGGGAUCAAGUCGUACAGCAAAAGAAAAUGUUUAGAGGGUUUAUUAACAAGUUUGUAAAAGUACAAAUUUAUGAAGUUGUAGGAGUGAUUAAUAAAUCGCAUUAU